CCUACGGGUGGCAGCAGUCGAGAAUCAUUCACAAUGGGGGAAACCCUGAUGGUGCGACGCCGCGUGGGGGAAUGAAGAUCUUCGGAUUGUAAACCCCUGUCAUGUGGGAGCAAAUUAAAAAGAUAGUACCACAAGAGGAAGAGACGGCUAACUCUGUGCCAGCAGACGCGGUAAUACGGAGGUCGCAAGCGUUGUUCGGAAUCACUGGGCGUAAAGCGUGCGUAGGCUGUUUCGUAAGUCGUGUGUGAAAGGCGCGGGCUCAACCCGCGGACGGCACAUGAUACUGCGAGACUAGAGUAAGGGAGGGGGAACCGGAAUUCUCGGUGUAGCAGUGAAAUGCGUAGAUAUUGAGAGGAACACUCGUGGCGAAGGCGGGUUCCUGGACAUUAACUGACGCUGAGGCACGAAGGCCAGGGGAGCGAAAGGGAUUAGAUACCCUGGUAGUC
rnacentral:rRNA from 1 species